UUACGGCCAUAUCACGUUGAAACAUCUGUUCCCAUACGUUCACUGAAGUUCAGCAACGCCGAGCCUGGUCAGUACUUACACUGGUGGCCCCUUGUGAAUAGCAGGUUCUGUAAG